CAAGCCGGCCGGACGGCCGCGGGCGGCUCGUCCGCUCGAGGAAAGUCCGGGCUCCACAGAGCAGGGCGCUGGGUAACGCCCAGUCGGGGUGACCCGAAGGAGAGUGCCACAGAAAAAACACAGCCACGGUGCUCGGCGCCGCGGCAACGGUGAAAUGGUGGGGUGAGAGCCCACCGGCGGCCGGGUGACCGGCCGGCCAGGUAAACCCCGCCCGGAGCAAGGCCGAACAGGGGCGGAGCGCUCGUCGCUCCAGGGGCUGCUCGUCCCCGACCCCGGGUGUGGCCGCUCGAGGCGCCGGGCAACCGGCGCUCCAGAUGGAUGGCCGUCCCCCACCGCCGGGGGUUCGAACAGGCGGCGGGGACAGAACCCGGCUUACAGGCCGGCUUGCAUC
rnacentral:RNase_P_RNA from 1 species